GGACUACUGGGGUAUCUAAUCCCGUUUGCUCCCCUGGCUUUCGCGCCUCAGCGUCAGAAGAGGUCCAGCGGAUCGCUUUCGCCACCGGCGUUCCUUCCGAUAUCAACGCAUUUCACCGCUCCACCGGAAGUUCCAUCCGCCCCUACCUCCCUCAAGGCUCCCAGUAUCCAAGGCACUUUUCCGGUUGGGCCGAAAGAUUUCACCCCGGACUUGGGAACCCGCCUACGCGCCCUUUAAGCCCAGUGAUUCCGAACAACGUUCGCACGGUUCGUCUUACCGCGGCUGCUGGCAC
rnacentral:rRNA from 3 species